rnacentral:tRNA from 1 species
GUUAGGAUAGUUAACCAAACAUUAGGCUGUGGCCCUAAAGACAGAGACCCAACACCUCUUCCUAAAC